rnacentral:lncRNA from 1 species
AUGGCGACCAUAGUUGCACACCAAGCUCUUCAAGAUGGCCUAAAGUUGAGGUUCAAGCAUUGAUUGAGCUGAGGACUAGGCUUGACGCUAAAUACCAUGAUAAUGGUCCUAAAGGACCAUUGUGGGAGGAGAUAUCAGCUGCAAUGAAAAAGCUUGGUUACAAUCGCAAUGCUAAAAGAUGCAAAGAGAAAUGGGAGAACAUAAACAAGUACUUCAAGAAGGUAAAAGAUAACCACAAGAAAAGGCCCGAGGAUUCCAAAACAUGUCCCUACUUUCACCAACUUGAUGCUUUAUAUAGAGAAAAGAACAAACAUGACAGCUCCUCCACUCAAUUCAAACCCCAGAACUCAGUCC